rnacentral:rRNA from 1 species
GAUGAACGCUGGCGGCGUGCCUAAUACAUGCAAGUCGAGCGAACGGACGAGAAGCUUGCUUCUCUGAUGUUAGCGGCGGACGGGUGAGUAACACGUGGAUAACCUUCCUAUAAGACUGGGAUAACUUCGGGAAACCGGAGCUAAUACCGGAUAAUAUUUUGAACCGCAUGGUUCAAAAGUGAAAGACGGUCUUGCUGUCACUUAUAGAUGUAUCCGCGCUGCAUUAGCUAGUUGGUAAGGUAACGGCUUACCAAGGCAACGAUGCAUAGCCGACCUGAGAGGGUGAUCGGCCACACUGGAACUGAGACACGGUCCAGACUCCUACGGGAGGCAGCAGUAGGGAAUCUUGCGCAAUGGGCGAAAGCCUGACGGAGCAACGCCGCGUGAGUGAAGAAGGUCUUCGGAUCGUAAAACUCUGUUAUUAGGGAAGAACAUAUGUGUAAGUAACUGUGCACAUCUUGACGGUACCUAAUCAGAAAGCCACGGCUAACUACGUG